GGGGGGAGAGUGCAGGGAAGACAAGAAGCUUUUGCAAGCACAUGGAUCGUCUUAAGACUAUUGUCCUAUAUGAUGUCUUCGUGCUGUUGGUACAUGGGUCUGAAGUGAAUUCUGCACCAAUGGCAGCAUAUUCUCCUCCCAGUGCCAUUUAUUUGAUGAAAGUUCGUUGGUGAAUUAAGGCGACUUGCACAGUUAUUGUGGAUACAAGAAACAUGAGGCCAAGAAAGAAAACUAUGACUGUGACACACUGAAAGAAACAGCAUAAACAAAAAAUUGAAACAUGAGACUGUGGACUAAGACAACUGGAAGUAGUGAGCAUGCUGAAGGAGGAAUUUCCUGAAUGUAUCUUUAACUAUUCAAACGACACAUGUGAUUAUGUGAAUGUGGCUAAUAGAAGAGAGGUGGCUCUACUGCAUGUUGCAUUCUGGAUUUGUUUUGUGCCUGAGAGGAGUUGAAUUCCUGAGCACUGGAGAUCUCAACAUAUUUGUGCUGGCUCUGCUCGUGACAGUAUAGUGGUGCAGGUGAUUGCCAGGAAAGAACUGAGAGGCUCUGACUUUUCCAAGGCACAGGAUUAUGCAAUGGAGAAGAAUAUUUUAGAAUCUAAAGAGAGAGUUCAGAACAUCAUGGUCAGAAGUCCAUGGACAUUGGAAACAGUUCUCCUAUUUGUUGUGUCUUCUCCAUUCUCCAGAGAUCUGAGUCACCGCACAGGAUACACCUACCCUCUGGAGAUUGGUUCAGAAGAAAGAGAAUAAAAUUUUCAAAGGGACCUCAGCUUGGUCUCUGAAAUAGGAGAGGGGGCUUCUGCUGCUGUCUGAUUGUGUACUUCUGAUUUUCUGAUCCAAAUGAGGUUGCGAAAUUCAUAUGUAGAGACAAUAAAGGCCACAUCUUUUUUCCACCGAAGUCAGUGGGAAGGUUUCCUACAGGUUCAAUAGGAGCAGAUAUGUGUGGUCAAAAGAUUUAAAGAAGACAGAAGAGGAGACGGAACAGCAAAAACAAAGGACAUGUUCUGCUCCUGAAAAAACUAGAAGGAACUCAGAAAGAAAAAGUAGCCUCCUACAGGUACUCUGAGCAGUAUUAUCUCCAGCUACCACAUCAGCAGACCACACAUGUGUAAAAUGAUGUGUUAUCAAAAUAUCUACAAUGGUGACUUAAAAAAAAAG